rnacentral:rRNA from 1 species
CUACGGGAGGCAGCAGUGAGGAAUAUUGGUCAAUGGGCGCAAGCCUGAACCAGCAAUGCCGCGUGUGGGAUGACGGCGCUUUGCGUUGUAAACCACUGUCGGACGGGACGAAAGGGAGCCUUUGGCUCCUGGGACGGUACCGUCAAAGGAAGGGUCGGCUAACUACGUGCCAGCAGCCGCGGUAAUACGUAGGACCCAAGCGUUGUCCGGAUUCACUGGGUAUAAAGGGUGCGUAGGCGGUCUUGUGCGUCAGAGGUGAAAUCUCCGGGCUUAACCCGGAGGGUGCCUUUGAUACGGCAGGACUUGAGUGCAGGAGAGGAUGAUGGAAUUCCUGGUGUAGCGGUGAAAUGCGUAGAUAUCAGGAGGAACACCGGUGGCGAAGGCGGUCAUCUGGUCUGCAACUGACGCUGAGGCACGAAAGCGCGGGGAUCAAACAGGAUUAGAUACCCCGGU